CAGAGCGUAGCUAAGAGUAUAGCAUCUCCCUUACACCGAGAAGACGCCCGUGCAAGCCGGGUCGCCCUGA
rnacentral:tRNA from 1 species